GAGUGGCGGACGGGUGAGUAACACGUGGGUAACCUGCCCAGAAGCAGGGGAUAACACCUGGAAACAGAUGCUAAUACCGUAUAACAGAGAAAACCGCCUGGUUUUCUUUUAAAAGAUGGCUCUGCUAUCACUUCUGGAUGGACCCGCGGCGCAUUAGCUAGUUGGUGAGGUAACGGCUCACCAAGGCGAUGAUGCGUAGCCGACCUGAGAGGGUAAUCGGCCACAUUGGGACUGAGACACGGCCCAGACUCCUACGGGAGGCAGCAGUAGGGAAUCUUCCACAAUGGACGCAAGUCUGAUGGAGCAACGCCGCGUGAGUGAAGAAGGGUUUCGGCUCGUAAAGCUCUGUUGUUAAAGAAGAACGUGGGUGAGAGUAACUGUUCACCCAGUGACGGUAUUUAACCAGAAAGCCACGGCUAACUACGUGCCAGCAGCCGCGGUAAUACGUAGGUGGCAAGCGUUAUCCGGAUUUAUUGGGCGUAAAGCGAGCGCAGGCGGUCUUUUAAGUCUAAUGUGAAAGCCUUCGGCUCAACCGAAGAAGUGCAUUGGAAACUGGGAGACUUGAGUGCAGAAGAGGACAGUGGAACUCCAUGUGUAGCGGUGAAAUGCGUAGAUAUAUGGAAGAACACCAGUGGCGAAGGCGGCUGUCUGGUCUGUAACUGACGCUGAGGCUCGAAAGCAUGGGUAGCGAACAGGAUUAGAUACCCUGGUAGUCCAUGCCGUAAACGAUGAUUACUAAGUGUUGGAGGGUUUCCGCCCUUCAGUGCUGCAGCUAACGCAUUAAGUAAUCCGCCUGGGGAGUACGACCGCAAGGUUGAAACUCAAAAGAAUUGACGGGGGCCCGCACAAGCGGUGGAGCAUGUGGUUUAAUUCGAAGCUACGCGAAGAACCUUACCAGGUCUUGACAUCUUCUGCCAACCUAAGAGAUUAGGCGUUCCCUUCGGGGACAGAAUGACAGGUGGUGCAUGGUUGUCGUCAGCUCGUGUCGUGAGAUGUUGGGUUAAGUCCCGCAACGAGCGCAACCCUUAUUACUAGUUGCCAGCAUUCAGUUGGGCACUCUAGUGAGACUGCCGGUGACAAACCGGAGGAAGGUGGGGACGACGUCAAAUCAUCAUGCCCCUUAUGACCUGGGCUACACACGUGCUACAAUGGAUGGUACAACGAGUCGCGAAACCGCGAGGUUUAGCUAAUCUCUUAAAACCAUUCUCAGUUCGGACUGUAGGCUGCAACUCGCCUACACGAAGUCGGAAUCGCUAGUAAUCGCGGAUCAGCAUGCCGCGGUGAAUACGUUCCCGGGCCUUGUACACACCGCCCGUCACACCAUGAGAGUUUGUAACACCCAAAGCCGGUGGGGUAACCUUUUAGGAGCUAGCCGUCUAAGGUGGGAC
rnacentral:rRNA from 1 species